AGGAAUAUUGGUCAAUGGACGCAAGUCUGAACCAGCCAUGUCGCGUGAAGGAUGAAGGUCCUCUGGAUUGUAAACUUCUUUUAUCUGGGACGAAAACGGGAUUUUUAUCUCAAUUGACGGUACCAGAGGAAUAAGCACCGGCUAACUCCGUGCCAGCAGCCGCGGUAAUACGGAGGGUGCGAGCGUUAUCCGGAUUUACUGGGUUUAAAGGGUGCGUAGGUGGGCUUAUAAGUCAGUGGUGAAAUCUCCGAGCUUAACUUGGAAACUGCCGUUGAUACUAUAGAUCUUGAAUUAUCUGGAGGUAAGCGGAAUAUGUCAUGUAGCGGUGAAAUGCUUAGAUAUGACAUAGAACACCAAUUGCGAAGGCAGCUUACUACAUAUAAAUUGACGCUGAGGCACGAAAGCGUGGGGAUCAAACA
rnacentral:rRNA from 1 species